rnacentral:rRNA from 1 species
CCUACGGGGGGCUGCAGUGGGGAAUAUUGCGCAAUGGUCGAAAGACUGACGCAGCGACGCCGCGUGGAGGAUGACGCCCUUCGGGGUGUAAACUCCUGUUGCUCGGGACGAAACCUCCUUUCGAGGAGACUGACGGUACCGAGUGAGGAAGCACCGGCUCACUCUGUGCCAGCAGCCGCGGUAAUCCAGAGGGUGCGAGCGGGAUCCGGAAUCACUGGGCGUAGAGGGCGCGUAGUGGGCUGGGUGAGGUGAAAGCUCGGGGCUCAACCCCGAGUCUGCCGUGCGAACUGCCGAGCUGGAGCACGGUAGAGGCACAUGGAAUUCCGGGUGUAGCGGUGGAAUGCGUAGAGAUCCGGAAGAACACCGGUGGCGAAGGCGGUGUGCUGGGCCGUAGCUGACGCUGAGGCGCGACAGCGUGGGGAGCAAACAGGAUUAGAUACCCUAGUAGUC